rnacentral:rRNA from 1 species
UGCGUAACGCGUGGGAAUCUGCCCUUGGGUUCGGGAUAACAGUUGGAAACGACUGCUAAUACCGGAUGAUGACUUCGGUCCAAAGAUUUAUCGCCCAGGGAUGAGCCCGCGUAGGAUUAGCUAGUUGGUGAGGUAAAGGCUCACCAAGGCGACGAUCCUUAGCUGGUCUGUAGAGGAUGAUCAGCCACACUGGGACUGAGACACGGCCCAGACUCCUACGGGAGGCAGCAGUGGGGAAUAUUGGACAAUGGGCGAAAGCCUGAUCCAAGCAAUGCCGCGUGAGUGAUGAAGGCCUUAGGGCUUGUAAAGCUCUUUUACCCGGGAUGAUAAUGACAGUACCGGGAGAAUAAGCCCCCGGCUACUCCGUGCC